GUAAGUGUGUCUGGGGGAAAUCGAUCAAGAACAGAGCAAGAGGGGGAAACCCUAGCUUCAAGAAACCAAGUAAUUGAAUCUGAAUUCAUAAGAUAAUCCAGUGCAUGAGCCUUGGAAUUUGAGUAGCUAACCCCAAUUUAUGAAGUGGCGUGAAGGAAGAAGGUUCCAAUACUAGGAAAUCGGAAAGUUCACAAGAUCGAGGUAAACCUCGACUUAGGCGACUUGGCAAUUUGGAGUGAACAUACGCACUUAUUAUGACCAUCAAGCGCUUCCGCUAUUUUGUAGUAAUAUUAUGGGUCAAAAUACUUGUUGUGUAUAACCUUGUUAGUAGCUAUACUUGUUAAACUUGAUUUUAUGGUUUUUGGUCGCGUCUGUCAAACGGGUUGUAGACUUUUUAUAUAGAUGAUGGUUAAAACAGGGAUACACUCGUCGUAUGGACGGGUCAUGCCCAAAUUUUGUUAAAGUUGCGCAUUAAUGUUAUUAGUAUUUUUACCUUUCAAUUGAGAAAAGUUUGGACGUUU
rnacentral:lncRNA from 1 species